AAAUAAAAUAAAAAAACCUUCCCAAAUUUAGGGUUACCCCAUAAUGGAAGCGAAGCAAUUCGAUUUGAAGUUUCAAAACUAAUACUUCCAACCGCUAGUUUUUUUCGACAAUUAACCAGCAUCUGCCAGUGUUGCAGUAAGGGCAAAAUCUACAACCAUUCCUCGAGAAUAAAAAAGCAGGAAAGAAACAAGAAUAUUAAGAUUGGUCAUUAAGUUAAUCUCAAAAGACCAUCACUGCAAAAGCUAUUUCAACAAUCCAAGAUUAAAGGGACACGCAGGGAUUGCAUGAACAUGGGUAAAUUUCAGAAAAUUGAGAAGCAGCACUCAAAACAAAUUAUGGAGUCAAAGCACAAGCUUAAGGCCAAGAAUAAUGCUUUCAAACAAAAACAAUCUGAUAUAAGGACAUCUUUAGUUGAGACUCCGGAUGAUGUAGUUGAAGAGAGUGAAUCAGAUCCUGAAAAUGUCCAGACAGACUCUUCUAUAUAUGAUACAUUAUUAUCAUCUCUGAAAUCAAGUUGUGGAUCUUUUGCCCAUGUCUAUAAUAAGAGGCAGAGAGAACAAGAAGGCGUUAGCAGUGAGGAGGAAGAAGAAAGCGAGCCAGAGGUUGGAAGUGAUGAUAUGAGUGAUGCUGAAGUAACAGAUGUUGAAAUGGAAACAAAAGAAGCUAGUGAGAUGGAGAUUGCAGAAGAAGAAGAGGCUGAAGACGUUAAUAAUGCAAACGAUGAAUCUGGAAGUGGUGAAGAAUGUGAUACAGAAGUUGAUGAAGAGGAAAAAGUAAAUAAUGAUGCUUCUAUGAAUAUUAGUUCUUUUAAAUCGCAUAUGGAGUACAUUUUGAGAGAAGCAGAUGUACAAAAGCUGAAGGAAGGGAAAAGAAAGUUCAUUUCAGAGCUAGCUGCUUAUGGAAUGCCAAUGUGCAAGUGGAAAACUACUAAUGAUGCCUUUCCAAAGGAUGAUGACAAACUUGCAAGUUAUAGCGUGAAGUUGAGUCUACAAUCACAGUGGCAAACUAUUUAUAAAAGGGCAGAGUGCUGCAAUUUCACUUCUGCUAUGCAAAGCCAAUUUUUUUCUCUUUGUAACAGUUAUCAAGAUAUAUUGCAUUCAAACAAAAAUGCAUUUGUGGCUGGAGGCCAAGAUGAUGAUUUGAGUGUAACAGAUGCUUAUCUUUUGCAUCUUCUUAAUCAUGUUUAUAAAACAAGAGACCUUGUUACAAAAAAUAAUGCUAGAUUGACUCAACAGUCAAAUAAUGGAGAUAAAUUGAUAAAUGCUGCCGAGCCUCCCCGAGAUCAGGGAUUUACUCGUCCAAAGGUUCUAAUUCUUGUGCCACUUCGAAGCAUUGCUCUUAGGACUGUAAAGAGGUUAAUUGAGUUGAUACCAAACUCAUGCAAAGAAUCUAUUGAAUAUAAAGAUAGGUUUAUUGAUGAAUUUGGUGCUGGAGAGGAUGAUGAAAAUGGAGAUCUAGAGGAUAUAGCAAUAUCUGAAGGCCAAAAGCAAGGGAAAAAUAAAACUUCUUCAAAACCUGCUGAUUUUCAAGCUCUUUUUGGAGGGAAUAAUGAUGAUCAUUUUCGGUUUGGGAUUAAAUUCACUAAGAAAACUGUCAAGGUUUACAGUGAUUUCUAUUCUUCAGACAUCAUUGUUGCUUCUCCAAUUGGGUUGAUUACUAGAAUUGGAGAAGCGGAGACUGAGAAGAAUAAAGAUGUGGAUUUCUUAUCAUCAAUAGAGAUUUUAGUCAUUGACAAUGCUGAUGUCAUUUUGAUGCAGAAUUGGUCUCAUAUUGUUUCUGUUGUUGACCAAUUAAAUCGAUUACCAACCAAGCAGCAUGGCACUGAUUUCAUGCGCAUCCGAGAAUGGUAUUUGAAUGGACAAGCACGUUAUUAUCGACAGACAAUUAUCCUAUCAAAUUUUGUAAAUGCAGAUAUAAAUGCAUUGUUCAAUCGUUUUUGCGUUAACUAUGAGGGAAAGGUUAAAUUAUUGUCUGUUUACAAUGGUGUUCUCCCAAAGGUGUUGCUUCAAGUACGCCAGGUUUAUGAGCGUUUUGAUUGCAGUUCAGUCUUAGAUGUUGAUGAUAAGCGAUUUGAAUUUUUUACUAAAAAGAUAUUCCCAAAAAUAAAGGAUUCACUGCAGGGUGGUAUCAUGUUAUUUAUAAGCUCAUACUUUGACUUUGUCCGUCUUCGAAACUUCUUAAAAGAGCAAAAUGCUUCUUUUUGCUUGCUUGGCGAGAUAUUUCUCUGAUGUAUAUACCAGUCUAGGAGUGAUCACGUUUUCUCAUCCAUAAUGCUGUUGUUGGUUCAGCCAUAAGGAGUGUGUCUAUCAAUGAAAUUUUCUCCUAGCAGUAUAUCUACUGGCAUUUGAUUCAUAGCUAAGAAAUCACAAGAGUUUUACAAAAGGAUAAAGAAGCACUAGCAUCUAUCUGCACAUCAUAGUUUCUACCAUUGAUUUCUACUGAAGUAAACAGAAAAAAAUUUCCAUUGAGCAAGGAUACUUAAUAUUCUGGCUUUAGCUGAGAUUUUGAGAUUUGAAAUGCAGAUGAUACCAAUCUUACCCUAGUAGGAUCUGCUACUUCAUCAAUAAUUUGUUUGCCUUUUUCAUUCAGAAUGAUCAUGAUGAGAGGCCAUUAGCAUGAUGACAUUUGUUGUUUGCAAUAUUCUAAGUUACUUAAAAAGGUUAUGCACAGUGUCCGGUUCAUGUUAGGUUUGACACAUCAUUCAAACAUAAAGUGUCUUGCAUGGGUAACUUGAAAAUCAUUGCCUUUGGAUUGUAAAGAGUCAUUUAUAAAUUCGUAGUAUUUGCUAAUAGGAAAGGAUGUGUUAUGAGAACUUUAUUGAAUGUCCAUUGUAUUUGCUUUCUGCUUACUUAUACUUUUCAUAUUUCUAGGCAUAGUUUUUUCUCAGCAAAGUUUGCAUUAUAACUCAAUGUUUUUAUUCAAUGUCUAUUGUGUUUGCUUUCUGCUUGCUUGUGCUUUUCAUAUUUCUAUACAUAGAUUUUUCCUAUCAAAGUAUGCAUUUAUAACUCAAUGUUUUCGAUCAGAGAUCCUGUCCUGGCUUGUUGCAAGCAAAAAUGAAACAUUAAGUUAGAGUCAAUUUUGGGUUUCAUUUCAUUCUUGUAAUCUGUUUGUGAUUGGUACCAAGUCUUCUGACUAGUAUAUCUUUAACUCAUAACUUUUAAACAUUGGCUGCAUCGACAUGGAUCACAAGAUGAAGUCUGUUUUUUGGGAUUGUAAAACCCCUUUUAACACCAAAGUGAGCGCUUAAGUACAUCUUUAUCCUUAAGUGUGCUUAAGUAAGUUUGGGUGCAGUAAGUUUGGCUGUCUCAAUUCUUUGUUGCAUGCUUUUAUUGGCAAAGGUUUAAAGGAGCCUAAGUUCAUCUUUGGAAGACAUGGUCAUCCUUUGUCA